rnacentral:rRNA from 1 species
AUUGAACGCUAGCGGCAUGCCUAACACAUGCAAGUCGAACGAGUGGCGGACGGGUGAGUAAUGUAUGGGAAACUGCCCGAUGGCGGGGGAUAACUACUGGAAACGGUGGCUAAUACCGCAUACCAUCGGAUGUGCCCAUAUGGGAUUAGCUAGUUGGUGGGGUAAAGGCUCACCUAGGCGACGAUCCCUAGCUGGUCUGAGAGGACGACCAGCCACACUGGAACUGAGACACGGUCCAGACUCCUACGGGAGGCAGCAGUGGGGAAUAUUGGACAAUGGGGGAAACCCUGAUGCAGCCAUGCCGCGUGUAUGAAGAAGGCCUUCGGGUUGUAAAGUACUUUCAGCGGGGAGGCGUUAUCUGCAGAAUAAGCACCGGCUAACUCCGUGCCAGCAGCCGCGGUAAUAC